rnacentral:rRNA from 1 species
CCUACGGGAGGCAGCCGUGAGGAAUAUUGGUCAAUGGACGAGAGUCUGAACCAGCCAAGUAGCGUGAAGGAUGACUGCCCUAUGGGUUGUACACUUCUUUUAUAUGGGAAUAAAACGUUCCACGUGUGGGAUUUUGUAUGUACCAUAUGAAUAAGGAUCGGCUAACUCCGUGCCAGCAGCCGCGGUAAUACGGAGGAUCCGAGCGUUAUCCGGAUUUAUUGGGUUUAAAGGGAGAGUAGGUGGAUUGUUAAGUCAGUUGUGAAAGUUUGCGGCUCAACCGUAAAAUUGCAGUUGAAACUGGCAGUCUUGAGUACAGUAGAGGUGGGCGGAAUUCGUGGUGUAGCGGUGAAAUGCUUAGAUAUCACGAAGAACUCCGAUUGCGAAGGCAGUUCACUGGACUGCAACUGACACUGAGGUUCGAAAGCGUGGGUAGCAAACAGGAUUAGAUACCCCAGUAGUC